UACAGAGGGUGCAAGCGUUAAUCGGAAUUACUGGGCGUAAAGCGUGCGUAGACGGUUAUGUAAGUCGGGUGUGAAAGCCCCGGGCUCAACCUGGGAAUGCCAUUCGAGACUGCAUAGCUAGGGUGCGGAAGAGGGAAGCGGAAUUUCCGGUGUAGCGGUGAAAUGCGUAGAUAUCGGAAGGAACACCAGUGGCGAAGGCGGCAUCCUGGACCAACACUGACACUGAGGAGCGAAAGCCAGGGGAGCAAACGGG
rnacentral:rRNA from 1 species